GUUUCAAGUCCCAAUUCCUGCCUGCCUGCCAUACUGCGUUAGUAAAUGGAAUACGAUACAGUUCAUACAUACAUCUGCCUCCAGGGGAUGAAAUCUGUCCAUGCUUUUACCUCUUGCUCUACAUUGUCCAUAUGGAACACACAAAAACUAUCAUCUAUUUUCUUAGCCUUCCAAGCCCUUCUUUAAUUCUUUUUUUAGAGCCUU